rnacentral:rRNA from 1 species
AAGUGGUGCAUGGUUGUCUUCAUCUCGUGUCGUGAGAUGUUGGGUUAAGUCCCGCAACGAGCGCAACCCUCGUUCUAUGUUGCCAGCACGUAAUGGUGGGAACUCAUGGGAUACUGCCGGGGUCAACUCGGAGGAAGGUGGGGAUGACGUCAAAUCAUCAUGCCCCUUAUGUCUUGGGCUUCACGCAUGCUACAAUGGCCGGUACAAAGGGCUGCAAUACCGUAAGGUGGAGCGAAUCCCAAAAAGCCGGUCCCAGUUCGGAUUGAGGUCUGCAACUCGACCUCAUGAAGUCGGAGUCGCUAGUAAUCGCAGAUCAGC